AUUGAACGAUGGCGGCAGGCUUAACACAUGCAAGUCGAGCGAGCGGCGGACGGGUGAGUAAUGUCUGGGAAACUGCCUGAUGGAGGGGGAUAACUACUAGAAACGGUAGCUAAUACCGCAUACCAUCAGAUGUGCACAGAUGGGAUUCGCUAGGAAGUGGGGUAAUGGCUCACCUAGGCGACGAUCCCUAGCUGGUCUGAGCGGAUGACCAGCCACGCUGGAACGGAGACACGGUCCAGACUCCUACGGGAGGCAGCAGUGGGAAAUAUAGCACAAUGGGAGAAGUCAUGAUGCAGCCAUGCCGCGUGGGGUAAUAAGGCCUUCGGGUUGUAAAGCCCUUUCAGCGAUGAGGCGUUACUCGCAGAAGACGCACCGGCUAACUCCGUGCCAGCAGCCGCGGUAAUAC
rnacentral:rRNA from 1 species